rnacentral:rRNA from 1 species
UACGUAGGGCGCAAGCGUUGUCCGGAAUUAUUGGGCGUAAAGAGCUCGUAGGCGGUCUGUUGCGUCUGCCGUGAAAACCCGAGGCUUAACCUCGUGGCGUGCGGUGGAUACGGGCGGACUUGAGGUAGGUAGGGGAGAAUGGAAUUCCCGGUGUAGCGGUGAAAUGCGCAGAUAUCGGGAGGAACACCGGUGGCGAAGGCGGUUCUCUGGGCCUUACCUGACGCUGAGGAGCGAAAGCGUGGGGAGCGAACAGG